rnacentral:rRNA from 1 species
AACGAACGCUGGCGGCAGGCUUAACACAUGCAAGUCGAACGCCCCGCAAGGGGAGUGGCAGACGGGUGAGUAACGCGUGGGAACAUAACCUUUCCUGCGGAAUAGCUGUGGGAAAAUGGGAUUACAACCGCAUACGCGCUAGGGGGGUAAGAUUUAUCGGGGAAGGAUUGGCCCGCGUUGGAUUAGCUAGUUAGUGGGGUAAAGGUCUACCAAGGCGACGAUCCAUAGCUGAUCUGAGAGGAUGAUCAGCCACAUUGGGACUGAGACACGGCCCAAACUCCUACGGGAGUCAGCAGUGGGGAAUAUUGGACAAUGGGCGCAAGCCUGAUCCAGCCAUGCCGCGUGAGUGAUGAAGGCCUUAGGGUUGUAAAGCUCUUUCACCGAUGAAGAUAAUGACGGUAGUCGGAGAAGAAGCCCCGGCUAACUUCGUGCCAGCAGCCGCAGUAACAC